ACAAUGAAGAGUUUGAUCCUGGCUCAGGAUGAACGCUAGCUACAGGCUUAACACAUGCAAGUCGAGGGGCAUCAGGAAGAAAGCUUGCUUUCUUUGCUGGCGACCG
rnacentral:rRNA from 2 species